UACAGAGGUCUCAAGCGUUGUUCGGAUUCAUUGGGCGUAAAGGGUGCGUAGGUGGCGUCGUAAGUCAGGUGUGAAAUCUCCGAGCUUAACUCGGAAAGGUCAACUGAUACUGUGCGACUAGAGUGCGGAAGGGGCAACUGGAAUUCUUGGUGUAGCGGUGAAAUGCGUAGAUAUCAAGAGGAACACCUGCGGCGAAGGCGGGUUGCUGGGCCGACACUGACGCUGAAGUGCGAAAGCCAGGGGAGCGAACGGG
rnacentral:rRNA from 1 species